rnacentral:rRNA from 1 species
CCUACGGGGCGCAGCAGUGGGGAAUAUUGGACAAUGGGCGAAAGCCUGAUCCAGCCAUGCCGCGUGUGUGAAGAAGGCCUUCGGGUUGUAAAGCACUUUCAGUGGGGAAGAAAGCCUUGGGGCUAAUACCCUCGAGGAAGGACAUCACCCACAGAAGAAGCACCGGCUAACUCCGUGCCAGCAGCCGCGGUAAUACGGAGGGUGCGAGCGUUAAUCGGAAUUACUGGGCGUAAAGCGCGCGUAGGCGGUCUGAUAAGCCGGUUGUGAAAGCCCCGGGCUCAACCUGGGAACGGCAUCCGGAACUGUCAGGCUAGAGUGCAGGAGAGGAAGGUAGAAUUCCCGGUGUAGCGGUGAAAUGCGUAGAGAUCGGGAGGAAUACCAGUGGCGAAGGCAGCCUUCUGGACUGACACUGACGCUGAGGUGCGAAAGCGUGGGUAGCAAACAGGAUUAGAUACCCUUGUAGUC